rnacentral:lncRNA from 1 species
UUUCAUAUCUUUCAGUCGGAGAAUGUCUUUCUAAUCGAUGACUUCGACCCGACUAUGCUCAUUAGGACUUGUCCUUGGAUUUCUUCAAGGGAAAGGAAAGCCCUAAGGUAGAGAAGAAGAAAUAAAGAAAAAUUGAUUUUUUUCAUCCGUGAAUGGAUGAAGGAAGGCUAGAAAUGAAGGACAGACCUUUUCUCGGGUUGAAGAACCACCAACCCUUGGGUG